rnacentral:rRNA from 1 species
GAUGAACGCUGGCGGCGUGCUUAACACAUGCAAGUCGAACGAUGAAGCCCAGCUUGCUGGGUGGAUUAGUGGCGAACGGGUGAGUAACACGUGAGUAACCUGCCCUAACUCUGGGAUAAGCCCGGGAAAACGGGGCUAAUACCGGAUAGGAGCGCCUACCGCAUGGUUGGGGUUUGAAAGAUUUAUCGGUUUUGGAUGGACUCGCGGCCUAUCAGCUUGUUGGUGAGGUAAUGGUUCACCAAGGCGACGACGGGUAGCCGGCCUGAGAGGGUGACCGGCCACACUGGGACUGAGACACGGCCCAGACUCCUACGGGAGGCAGCAGUGGGGAAUAUUGCACAAUGGGCGAAAGCCUGAUGCAGCGACGCCGCGUGAGGGAUGACGGCCUUCGGGUUGUAAACCUCUUUCAGUAGGGAAGAAGCGAAAGUGACGGUACCUGCAGAAGAAGCACCGGCUAACUACGUG